rnacentral:tRNA from 3 species
GCGGAUGUGGUGAAAUUGGUAGACACGCCAGAUUCAGAGUCUGGUGCCGCAAGGUAUGGAAGUUCGAGUCUUCUCAUCCGCACUA